UACAGGGGGGGCAAGCGUUGUUCGGAAUUACUGGGCGUAAAGGGCCAGUAGGCGGCCAACUAAGUCCGACGUGAAAUCCCCAAGCUUAACUUGGGAACUGCGUCGGAUACUGGAUGGCUUGAAUUCGGGAGAGGGAUGCAGAAUUCCAGGUGUAGCGGUGAAAUGCGUAGAUAUCAGGAGGAACACCGAUGGCGAAGGCAGGUCUCUGGGCCACUACUGACGCUGAGAAGCGAAAGCAUGGGGAGCGAACAGG
rnacentral:rRNA from 1 species